GGAUCUUUCUUUGGCACACCAGCUGUCUCUAUCACCAAGCUUUCUAAUUUCCGUCAACAAUCCACUCAGAUCUCUCUAAUAUUAUUAUUCCGUGUUUGACCGGCAAACCUCUCCUUCCUCGAAGAGCUAGGGUUUUGAUCUUUUCCUGGUUCUAACUCCUCCGCACUCUACACUACAUUCCCCCCCUCUUCAUUGCCUCGAUCGUUCUUAUCCCGAUUUCGCUCUUCUACCUUCAACCUAAGUACGAUCUGCGAUGUGAUUUGUUGAAUAGGCUCGAUCUCCGCGACCAGAACUUUUGGAUUCAUAGCAAUCUUUGGUUCGCUUGUUUUGGCGUGGGGUUUUUCUUUGUUGAUUCAGAAAAUGGUGGGUUCUGAAAGUCCCAACGGUUCUUCGCCACAGCCGGCGAGGAAGUACGGUAUCACAAAGCCAAUCUCUCUUGCAGGGCCCACCGAGGCUGAUCGUCACCGCAAUAUGGAAUUGGAAAAGUUCUUGAUUGAUUCGGGGCUAUAUGAGAGUGAGGAAGAAGCUUCGAGGAGAAAAGAGGUUCUGGACCGCAUUGAUGAGAUUGUAAAAGGUUGGGUCAAGCAAUUAACCCACCAGAGGGGCUACACAGAUCAGAUGGUGGAGGACGCAAAUGCUGUCAUUCUUACUUUUGGUUCCUAUCGACUGGGGGUACAUGGGCCUGGGUCUGACAUCGACGCAUUGUGUGUUGGGCCAUCUUAUGUUAAUCGAGAUGAAGAUUUUUUUAUGGUUUUGCAUAAUAUUCUGGCUGAAAUGGAAGAAGUUACCGAGCUUCAGCCAGUUCCAGAUGCUCAUGUCCCAGUAAUGAAAUUCAAAUUUCUAGGGAUAUCAAUUGAUCUUCUCUAUGCAAGUAUAUCUCUUUUGGUUGUUCCAGAAGACCUGGACAUCUCACCUGGGUCUGUUCUGUACAAUGUUGAUGAGCCAACUGUUCGAAGCCUUAAUGGCUGCAGGGUUGCAGACCAAAUUCUUAAACUUGUUCCAAAUGUUGAGCACUUCCGCAUGACACUCAGAUGUUUGAAGUUUUGGGCUAAAAUACGAGGUGUUUAUUCCAAUGUUACUGGAUUCCUCGGUGGUGUAAAUUGGGCCCUUUUGGUCGCUCGGGUAUGUCAGCUUUACCCCAAUGCAAUUCCUAGUAUGCUGGUUUCUCGAUUCUUCAGAGUUUAUACACAAUGGCGUUGGCCAAAUCCUGUGAUGUUAUGCCCAAUAGAAGAGAAUGAACUUGGGUUUCCAGUAUGGCAUCCUCGCAAAAACCCUAGGGACCGGCUUCAUCACAUGCCAAUAAUAACUCCUUCCUACCCUUGUAUGAAUUCUAGCUACAAUGUCUCAGCAAGUACUCUUCGUGUUAUGGUGGAGCAGUUCCACCAUGGUCAUAGCAUCUGUGAGGAGAUUGAGCUGAGCAAAGGCCAAUGGAGUGCACUAUUUGAGCCCUAUCUAUUUUUUGAGGCAUAUAGAAAUUAUUUACAAGUGGAUAUAAUUGCGGCUGAUUCUGAUGAUCUGCUUGCUUGGAAGGGAUGGGUGGAGUCUCGACUUAGACAGCUUACCCUGAAGAUAGAGAGGGAUACAAAUGGGAUGCUGCAGUGCCAUCCUUUUCCGAAUGAAUAUGUAGACACGUCAAAGCCAUGUUCUCAUUGUGCUUUCUUCAUGGGCUUGCAGAGGAAAGAGGGAGUUAGAGGUCAAGAAGGCCAGCAGUUUGAUAUACGUGCAACAGUUGAUGAGUUUAGGCAAGAGAUCAAUAUGUACAUGUUUUGGAAACCAGGAAUGGAUAUUUUUGUUUCUCAUGUCCGUCGAAAGCAGCUUCCUGCUUUUGUUUUCCCUGAUGGUUAUAAACGUUCUCGAUUGUCAAGGCACGUAAGCCGGCAGGCUGAAAAAACUUGUGAAGAUGCUGUGGGGUGCUGGCCUGGCUCUACUGAAAGGCCUCUCAAGAGGAAAAGUGAUCCUGGAAUGGUGGAUGUGAGGCCGGAUAAACCAGAUAAGCGAGUUUCUAUUAGCACGGGACUGCUGGAGUCUGUUUCUAGGACUGGUGGAUUAUCUCGGGUCAGCUUUGGUGAAGGGGUUGGAUUAGAGUGUGUAGCAACUGGGGAUGUCGAUAGCAAAUCUAAAAUUAGGUUAUUUGAUGGACAGUUAGGGAGUGAACAGGGUAUAGUACAAAAUCAUAUAGAGAAUGAUGAAACUGGUAUUGGUGACCCUGUCAACUUAACUGAGCAAACUUUUGUGAGUAAGAAUUUGCCAGAAGUUAUAAAUGAGGCAAUGCUAACUGAAGCAGUGGAGAAAACUUAACUCAGGAAGGAGUCGUCCACUUCAUAUGAAGUAGCUAGUUCUGUUGGGGAAACUUGUCAGAUUGGACUGAACGGGGACAAAGUUGGGGUAGUUUGCAUGUAACUGAAGCGGUGGAGAAAACCUUCUCCAAGGAAGGACUGGCUUGCUUAAUCUGAAGUACCUAAAUGCUAUAUUUGGUAAAACAUGUCAAAUUGGAUUGAACAGGGACAGAGUUGGGAUAGCUUACGUGGAGAGUAUGGACUGGAACUUUUAGGAAACUGCUGAAUUGGGCUGAAGAUACUGAUCAAGAAAUAGUCAAACCAUAUAAUCAAACAACGGGAAAAGAAAAUGCUGAAAGUGUAUUCAACUGAGUGAAAUAUUCAGAAGCUCAGUUUCAGAGUGACUUUUAGGCCUCGUUCUGGAUGGCCACAGGAUGGCCAUGUGAAAAUUGGAAGUUCUGGAGAUGCAUGUACAGGAUCUUUGCAGGGCGAUGUAUGUGCGACAGAUCCUGAUUUGCUUUUUGGAAAUGGGUUUUUUAAUUCGGGUGGCGUAUUUUAAAAAGGCUUGUGGAGGGUGAUGUGUGCGGGAGAUCCUUAUUUGCUUUGGGAAAAAAGGUGUUUCAAUGCAAGUGGAGUAUUUCAAAAAGGCUUUUCUGAAGAUAUGGAGGUUCUGAAUCUAACCUUUCUGAUCUUUAUUGAUUUACUCUUUUGCUCUCUCCCAAGAAAAAAAUCCCUCCUUUUGUCUACCUUCUGGUCCGGUCAUUGUUAGAGAGAGCAAAACUGUUUGUAGGUUCCAAAUUCAUUCUCUUUUAUAUGGAUUUUUUUCCCCGCUAUUCCAUUCAUCUCUAUCUGGCCGAGCCAUUGUGAGGUAGCAAGCUUAUUUAUAGGUUUUUGUUUCGUUCUCCUUUAUAUGCUUGUUAUUUUUUAAUGGAAUUUCAUUGGUUUUUAUUUCUACAAUUAUUGGAUAAUGAUAAAUUGAACGGACAGUCUCCUAACUAGUGCAUACAUGGUGGCAGGUCCUGUACCACCAUACAUUAUGCUUCCAGUUACUGUGAAUAGAACCUAACUAUGUGUACUGUCUAGGGCUCAGAUACAUGACUCCCCCUGUUUCUCCCUGUUUCUCGUUUCUAAUAUAUCUUGGGAGCCUAACUUCUUUUACUGCUGGUUGUCUUCUAUAGUUGGACUAUUGCACUCAGGAAUGUUGUAAAUUCGGAAGAUGGGCUUGGGCAGAAUCUAUGCAAGAGCCAGUGAUAAGGCAUGUUUUUUUCAACUUCAGUUUUUUUAUGAAAAUCAUUGUAUCUUUAUACCGUGCUUUUUCUGUAUAUGGCUCGUCUGACAGAUUUAAGUCUCAAGUCACUUGUACUUAAUAAUGCUCGGGAGGUGACCACAUACUUGAAACAGAGAGUCGCUUCUAUGAAAGGAGAGAGCCAGCAUAUUGGUAAGUGGCACAUCCAUUGCUGGCUUUCAUCAUGGUUUUUCCAGGUGCACAUUGUGUGCCAUCUUGUGAGCUGAGUGCAAUGGUCUUACAAGAUGUGCUGCUAAACAUCGUUGAAGCUGAGAGCACCGCAGAAGGGUAUUAUUGUACAUCGUCCGGUGUCUGCUGGUGCUUUGAAGACUGGUUUCCAUUUAACUAGGGCCAAAUGUUUCUUCAAAAGGACAAAAGAAUAAGUUGUAGGGGUGUUUGCUCUCUCUCUCUCUCUCUCUCUCUCUCUCUCUCUCUCCCUCUAGGUUUUGUAACUCUCCAUCGACUGUUGUAGGUUGUGUAGGCUUUACUGCCCGUAAUAGAUCUCAAACCUUUUAGUUCA